GAGCUGAAAAAUAAAAACCCGCAACACAAUCACAGUUCCAAACACGCAGCUAUUAGACUUCGAUGCACUUCCCUGACUUGCAUCGUCGCCCGAAAUUCAGAAGAUAACGCUGCAGAUGGAUAAUUCAGCAAAAGUACAGAUAUGGGUGUGACGGCAGAGAACAAUAAAAGUGGCGCAAUGACAGCAACUGUCUUUGAACAACAGAAACUAACG
rnacentral:lncRNA from 1 species